UACAGAGGUGGCAAGCGUUGUUCGGAAUUACUGGGCGUAAAGGGCGCGUAGGCGGUCUUCUAAGUCUUGUGUGAAAUCCCUCGGCUCAACUGAGGAACUGCACGGGAUACUGGAAGACUUGAGUUCGGGAGAGGGAAGCGGAAUUCCGGGUGUAGCGGUGAAAUGCGUAGAUAUCCGGAGGAACACCGGUGGCGAAGGCGGCUUCCUGGACCGACACUGACGCUGAGGCGCGAAAGCUAGGGGAGCAAACGGG
rnacentral:rRNA from 1 species